GAAAGUCACGUGAACGUGACGAAACGCGUAAGGACCUGCCCCUAUCCACACUCAGCUCAGGUGAAAUCUUCCAGGUGUUCCUUGGUCCCCGCUGCACCCUCCGUCUACAGCAUCCGACAUCAGCGGCUUCAGCGCACACGCCGCCACGACCGGGUUGUGAGAGAGACGGUCCAUUCCUUUCCGCUGCACAGCGUAUAUGGGCAUUGCAGGACAUUGAAGCCGAGGACGCUCGGCUCUUACCAGCCCAUUUUGGAAAGGUUACUGUACUGUGGUCUGACCUCCUCCUGCUGUGAUGAUCUCCGCUCUGUUAUUACUACAAACUGCUCUUUGACCAGACUGGACCUGUCAUGUAAUGAUCUGGGGGACUCUGGAAUAAAGAUUCUGUGUGAUGGACUGAGACACCCGGUCUGUGCCCUGCAGGAUCUGAGGAUAUCGGGCUGUGCUCUGACCUCCUCUUGCUGUGAUGAUCUCCGCUCUGUUCUUACUACAAACCUGUCACUGACUAGACUGGACCUGUCAUACAAUGCUCUCGGGGACUCUGGACAUAAACUUCGAGAGUGUGUGAGGCGGGCUGCAGCUUCUGGUGUAAGAUUAUUGAGUUACAUCCACAAGAUUGUGUUAUAUUCAAAAGUACAUUAACAUUGAUUGGGGAUGAUUCAGAUUUGCUCACAACUUGGCCACACUGGGAUCUCAGAGAUAAUUAUGGGUCUCAGCCGGUAAUCAGACAUGGGCACCUCUGUGGCUGCACCACUCAUCCAUCCGCCUGUGAGAAACGGAUCUCUGUGUACACCCACCUCUGAAUUGCUGCAAUUCCUCCUCUAUGCUCACGAUGCCCCCACAUUCAUGAGACAUGAUUCGCCCUUAGUUGUGCUGCUCAGCAUGGACUGACGCACGAUGCACAAGUGUAGCUCUACGUCACCCCAAUGGGAUUCACUAUGCCAAAGUUUUCGCAGCAAAAACGCGGCAUGUCCAGGCAGUUUUUGAGGCGAGUAACAGCCGGCAACUGUGAUCAUUUACACAGGAAUCACCUCUCCAGCAUCUCACUUGCAACAUCCUUUCUGAGUAACCAAAGACAUAGUCGGGAAGUCGAUGUUUUCUGGAUCUACAUCGAUGAUGCAAACGUGUGUACAGGCAGCUGUAAGCGUCUCAAUACAGAUCCCGGAAGCUGCUACAUUAGUAUAUUUAAACACAUCCUCUGAGACACAGAUCACGUCUGUGGUAAUAUUAGUGUACAGCUAUGAAUCAGCCCUGAGUGUGUGAUGUAAUGUCAGCGUUACAAUGAGCGGAUACAUGUGAGCAGGAUCUCUCCCCUUCCUCUUACUGGUACCUGGCCCUCUGUAUGACAGCACUGCUAGGCCUCCUAUGAGGUGUAUAUCAGCUCUGCCUCAAUUCCUUCCCCUCCCUUCUCCUGCUCUCAGGUCAUACACAUUCUUACUGUGCUUAUUCUCAUGUAUCAGUAGUGACACUGGAAGCUCUGCAUUGGGAUUCCACAGGGAGAUCCCAGCUCUGUCUAACGAUAACAAAUGCAGUACCUUCAUACUCAAUAUGGUUUAUGGUAGACCCCAGAAUAAUGUGCUGCCUGUUUGCAUAUACUGUAGCUUAUACUUGCUGCUUCUGGGAC